rnacentral:rRNA from 1 species
AUUGAACGCUGGCGGCAGGCUUAACACAUGCAAGUCGAGCGAGCGGCGGACGGGUGAGUAAUGUCUGGGAAACUGACUGAGGGAGGGGGAUAACUACUGGAAACGGUAGCUAAUACCGCAUACCAUCAGAUGUGCACAGAUGGGAUUAGCUAGUAGGUGGGGUAAUGGCUCACCUAGGCGACGAUCCCUAGCUGGUCUGAGAGGAUGACCGGCCACGUGGGAACUGCGACACGGUCCAGACCCCUACGUGAGGCAGCAGUUGGGAUUAUUGCACAAUGGGCGCAAGCCUAAUGCAGCCAUGCCGCGUGUGUGAAGAAGGCCUUCGGUUUGUAAAGCACUUUCAGCGAGGAGGCGUUACUCGCAGAAGAAGCACCGGCUAACUCCGUGCCAGCCGCCGGGUAAUUC